rnacentral:rRNA from 1 species
UACGAAGGGGGCUAGCGUUGCUCGGAAUCACUGGGCGUAAAGGGUGCGUAGGCGGGUCUUUAUGUCCGGGGUGAAAUCCUGGAGCUCAACUCCAGAACUGCCUUUGAUACUGAGGAUCUUGAGUUCGGGAGAGGUGAGUGGAACUGCGAGUGUAGAGGUGAAAUUCGUAGAUAUUCGCAAGAACACCAGUGGCGAAGGCGGCUCACUGGCCCGAUACUGACGCUGAGGCACGAAAGCGUGGGGAGCGAACAGG